CCUACGGGUGGCAGCAGUGAGGAAUAUUGGUCAAUGGGCGAGAGCCUGAACCAGCCAAGUCGCGUGAGGGAGUACUGCCCUAUGGGUUGUAAACCUCUUUUGUCGGGGAGCAAAAGCCGGACGUGUCCGGCUGUGAGAGUACCCGAAGAAAAAGCAUCGGCUAACUCCGGGCCAGCAGCCGCGGUAAUACGGAGGAUGCGAGCGUUAUCCGGUGUUAUUGGGUUUAAAGGGUGCGCAGGCGGAUUUUUAAGUCAGCGGGUAAAUCGUGGGGGGAAACCCCAUCCAGCCGUUGGAACCGGGGAUCUUGAGUGUGCGGGAGGUAGGCGGAAUGCGUGGUGUAGCGGUGAAAUGCAUAGAUAUCACGCAGAACCCCGAUUGCGAAGGCAGCAUACCGGUGCACAACUGACGCGCAAGCACGAAAGCGUGGGGAUCGAACAGGAUUAGAUACCCCGGUAGUC
rnacentral:rRNA from 1 species